UUCUUUUCAGGGGCUCUCGGGGCUAGGGCGAUAUUAAGGUUGCCUUUAGAAAUGUCAUUUUUUUGUGUUCGGAAAUCAAAAGGCAACCUUAAUACCGCCUUGGCCUUGAGAGCUUUUGGGGGGAACACUGGGGUCGUCUGGCAGGAGGCUCGGGUCGUGAGAGCUGUUUCUGAUCGUGGGGCCCUGCCCGCAGCCGGGGGGGUUGAGGUCCUGAGGGCCGGCUGGGGGCAUAGCGUUGUCGGCGUCGGGCGGGCGGAUGGUUUCAGUACGGCCUGGAGGUUUGCAGCCGCAAACGUUUGGCG
rnacentral:lncRNA from 1 species